UUUGGCUAAAGUUUGAUAAUCGCUAUCGAGGUUUCGAUACGUUACAAUAUAUGUAUGUUAUAUGUAUGUAUGAAGUCCGGCUGGGAUAUUAUUGAUAGCACAAAGCGUUUGGUGCUACUGAGUUUUCCACCGUUAGAUUCAACCAUUUGACUAUUUUCAUCCUUUAGAUUAUACUAUUCAACCAACAACUUACUCAACCCUAGGGGGUCCGCAUCAUCCUAACCGUACAUUCUUUCAUCCAAGGGCCAAAAACCUAAUAUGCACCAAUAGCUUGGUGCUAUUAGUGGUAUUCCAACCUAGUUCUAUAUGUAAUAUUUUAUAUUUAAGCUAUUUUGAGCCAAACAUGAGUAAGAUGAUCCCAACUCGCGUUCGAUUAUUAAGAUUUUUGAGUUGAAAAUUUAUUAAAUGAGCGAACAAUCUCAAGCUCAUUUCAAGCCGAAUGCGAGUCAGCUUAGGAAAGCUAGAUUUCAAACUAUACUUUAGGGGGGCGUCGUACCGGCGUGUUUAAUUGCAAGCGGCAACACCGCGUGUAACUUGGGCCGUUACUGGCAUGAAAUAAAGGGCAUGUCUAGUUGGCCGAAAGUAAAGCACUGAAAGUGGCAUUUUUGAAAAAUGACAUUUUAUCAGUCGUUUGAUUUGUGAAAAAGUGAAUAUGAAAGUCAUUUUACAAAAGUGGUCUGAUAAAGUGAAUUGCAACUAAAUCUCAUUUUUUUAAACUUUGACUCAAAAAAUUCGAAAGUUACCAAAAGUGAAGUGCUUAGCUAAGAGGUUAUAUUUAAUUUUAACUUUAAUCUUUGAAUUUAUUUUUAAAGUUGAAUU
rnacentral:lncRNA from 1 species